GGAGAAGACAUCCACAGAGAUGCAUGUUCUCAUAGGUGGAACAUACAGCCCCAUCAUGAAAGGAAGAUGCAUAAAAAUCAAUGCCCAGGGCAGAGGUUUAUAAGCCUGGGCCUCCAACAUGGAAUGUGGAAGGCCAAGGGUUUCUUGUUUUUAGGAGUGGUAGAGGGGAAAGGAUGAAGACUCAUAAAACAUGAUACAAUGCCAACUGAAAAAGAGCAGAGCACAGAAGUGUCUCUGUUUUGGUUAUAAUGUUUAUGUGUGGAAACACUAGACAAGAAAAUAGAAAAAUGAAAGCAGCUGAUACGUCAGCAUGAGGAGACGGUGAGCAAACAAAAAAAUAGAGAAGCUGAGUGACUACCACAUGAUGGAACACUAUGAGGAGUGAAGUGUAUUUGGUGCCCAGCCUCUCACCCCGCCUCACAGUUCAGUGGACCCAACUCCAGUGGAGUUGCCUUUCCAGUUGCAACACAGAUUCCUCCUGAGUCUUAACCAAAGUGCCCUCUCUGACUUAAAUUGCGAACACAUGUGUUUCAUGUUUGUAGCUGGAUGCCAGUUCAUAUACUACUGGAACAUUUUGUCUACUGUUACAUAAUUAAACUGGAAGAAACCCUUGGUAGGAUGUGAAAUAGCAAUAUGAUCCAAAGAUCAUUAAAAUGUCAAAAGUCCUUUAAUGAUAGUGUGUAUUUGAUUAACCACACAAAAAUAUUG
rnacentral:lncRNA from 10 species